rnacentral:rRNA from 1 species
GAUGAACGCUAGCGGCAGGCCUAAUACAUGCAAGUCGGACGGGAGUUGAAAUUAAAGCUUGCUUUGAUUUCAUGAGAGUGGCGCACGGGUGCGUAACGCGUGAGCAACCUACCCAUAUCAGGGGGAUAGCCUCUCGAAAGAGAGAUUAACACCGCAUAACAUCAUUAACCGGCAUCGGAUUAUGAUCAAAUAUUUAUAGGAUAUGGAUGGGCUCGCGUGACAUUAGCUAGUUGGAGAGGUAACGGCUCACCAAGGCUACGAUGUCUAGGGGCUCUGAGAGGAGAAUCCCCCACACUGGUACUGAGACACGGACCAG